rnacentral:rRNA from 1 species
CAUAUGCUUGUCUCAAAGAUUAAGCCAUGCAUGUCUAAGUACAUACCUUAUUAAGGUGAACCCGCGAAAGGAUCAUUAAAUCAGUUACGGUUCCUUGGAUAUAAACACUUUACAUGGAUAACUGUGGUAAUUCUAGAGCUAAUACAUGCACCAUAAAUCUUGACUCUUCGGAGAAGAGAUGCAUUUAUUAGACCAAGACCAAUGGGAUCUUUCGGGGUUCCUGAUCUGGUGACUCUGGAUAACUGCGCUGAUCGCACGGCCUAUGUGCCGGCGACGAAUCCUUCAAGUGUCUGCCUUAUCAACUUUCGAUGGUAGGUUAUGCGCCUACCAUGGUUGUAACGGGUAACGGGGAAUCAGGGUUCGAUUCCGGAGAGGGAGCCUGAGAAACGGCUACCACAUCCAAGGAAGGCAGCAGGCACGCAAAUUACCCACUCCCGGAACGGGGAGGUAGUGACGAAAAAUAACAAUACGGGACUCUAAUGAGGCCCCGUAAUUGGAAUGAGUACAAUCUAAAUCCUUUAACGAGGAUCAAUUGGAGGGCAAGUCUGGUGCCAGCAGCCGCGGUAAUUCCAGCUCCAAUAGCGUAUAUUAAAGUUGUUGCGGUUAAAAAGCUCGUAGUUGAAUCUCAGUUUAUGUUAAGCGGUCCACUUGCCGGUGGUUACUGUUUAGCUUGAACAUUAUACAGACCUGAUUUCUGAUGCUCUUAACCGGGUGUCGGAAACGAUCUGUACGUUUACUUUGAAAAAAUUAGAGUGCUUAAAGCAGGCGUCAAGCCCGCAUAAUCUUGCAUGGAAUAAUGGAAUAGGACUUCGGUUCUAUUUUGUUGGUCUUCGGAACCUGAGGUAAUGAUUAAGAGGGACAGACGGGGGCAUUCGUAUUGCAACGCUAGAGGUGAAAUUCUUGGACCGUUGCAAGACGAACUACAGCGAAAGCAUUUGCCAAGAAUGUUUUCAUUAAUCAAGAACGAAAGUUAGAGGUUCGAAGGCGAUCAGAUACCGCCCUAGUUCUAACCAUAAACGAUGCCAACCAGCGAUCAGCCUGAGUUCUUUAAAUGACUCGGCUGGCAGCUUCCGGGAAACCAAAGUGUUUCGGUUCCGGGGGAAGUAUGGUUGCAAAGCUGAAACUUAAAGGAAUUGACGGAAGGGCACCACCAGGAGUGGAGCCUGCGGCUUAAUUUGACUCAACACGGGAAAACUUACCCGGCCCGGACACUGGGAGGAUUGACAGAUUGAGAGCUCUUUCUUGAUUCAGUGGGUGGUGGUGCAUGGCCGUUCUUAGUUGGUGGAGCGAUUUGUCUGGUUAAUUCCGAUAACGAACGAGACUCUAGCCUACUAAAUAGACCGUUGACUCUCCGGCGUCAACGGGACUUCUUAGAGGAACAAGCGGCAAUUAAGCCGCACGAAACAGAGCAAUAACAGGUCUGUGAUGCCCUUAGAUGUCCGGGGCCGCACGCGCGCUACACUGAAGUGAUCAGCGUGCAUAGAUUACCCGCUCUGACAAGAGUGGGUAACCCAAAGAACCUUCUUCGUGAUAGGGACUGGGCAUUGUAAUUAUUGCCCAUGAACGAGGAAUUCCCAGUAAGCAUGAGUCAUAAGCUCGUGUUGAUUACGUCCCUGCCCUUUGUACACACCGCCCGUCGCUACUACCGAUUGAAUGAUUUAGUGAGGACUUCAGACUGGUCGGUGUGGCUGCUUUCGGGUAGCCGCGCUGUACUGGAAAGAUGUCCAAACUUGAUCAUUUAGAGGAAGUA